rnacentral:rRNA from 1 species
GGAGGAAAAGAAACCAACAGGGAUUGCCUUAGUAACGGCGAGUGAAGCGGCAACAGCUCAAAUUUGAAAGCUGGCCCUUUUAGGGUCCGCGUUGUAAUUUGUAGAGGAUGAUUCGGCGAGGGCUCCCGCCUAAGUCCCCUGGAACGGGGCGUCAUAGAGGGUGAGAAUCCCGUAUGCGGUGGGUUGCCUUAGCCAUGUGAAUCUCCUUCGACGAGUCGAGUUGUUUGGGAAUGCAGCUCUAAAUUGGAGGUAAAUUUCUUCUAAAGUUAAAUACUGGCCAGAGACCGAUAGCGCACAAGUAGAGUGAUCGAAAGAUGAAAAGCACUUUGGAAAGAGAGUUAAAAAGCACGUGAAAUUGUUGAAAGGGAAGCGCUUGCAACCAGACUUGUCCGCAGUUGCUCAACCGGUCUCCUGACCGGUGUACUCUUCUGCGGCCAGGCCAGCAUCAGUUCGGGCGGUCGGAUAAAGACCUUGGGAAUGUAGCUCCUCUCGGGGAGUGUUAUAGCCCAAGGUGGAAUGCGGCCAGCCUGGACUGAGGAACUCGCUUCGUCAAGGAUGCUGGCGU